rnacentral:rRNA from 1 species
CAAUAGCGUAUAUUAAAGUUGUUGCAGUUAAAAAGCUCGUAGUUGGAUUUGUGGCGUACGGUGUGUUCCGGGCACUUGGUGUCUGAGUAACCUGCUGUUGCCAUCCUUGGGUGGAACCUGUGUGGCAUUAGGUUGUCGUGCAGGGGAUGCCCAUCAUUUACUGUGAAAAAAUUAGAGUGUUCAAAGCAGGCUUAUGCCGUUGAAUAUAUUAGCAUGGAAUAAUGAGAUAGGACUUUUUUGCUAUUUUGUUGGUUUGCGCAAAGAGGUAAUGAUUAAUAGGGACAGUUGGGGGUAUUCGUAUUCCAUUGUCAGAGGUGAAAUUCUUGGAUUUUUGGAAGACGAACUACUGCGAAAGCAUUUACCAAGGAUGUUUUCAUUAA